rnacentral:rRNA from 1 species
GUCUAUGGCCAUGCCACCCUGAACAAGCUCAAUAUCUGAUCUCGGAAGCUAAGCAAGGUUGAGCCUGCUUAAUACUUGGAUGGGAGACAACCUAAGAAGACCAUGUGCUGUAGGUA